rnacentral:rRNA from 1 species
UACGUAGGGGGCAAGCGUUGUCCGGAAUCAUUGGGCGUAAAGCGCGCGUAGGCGGCCCGGUAAGUCCGUUGUGAAAGUCAAAGGCUCAACCUUUGAACGCCGAUGGAUACUGCCGGGCUAGAGUCCGGAAGAGGCGAGUGGAAUUCCUGGUGUAGCGGUGGAAUGCGCAGAUAUCAGGAGGAACACCAAUGGCGAAGGCAGCUCGCUGGGACGGUACUGACGCUGAGACGCGAAAGCGUGGGGAGCAAACAGG